rnacentral:rRNA from 1 species
UAGGGAAUAUUGGACAAUGGGGGAAACCCUGAUCCAGCGAUGCCGCGUGAGUUAUGAAGGCCUUCGUGUCGUAAAGCUCUUUCACCUGUGAGGAUAAUGACGGUAGCAGGUAAAGAAGCACCGGCAAACUCUGUGCCAGCAGCCGCGGUAAGACAGAGGGUGCUAGCGUUGUUCGGAAUGACUGGGCGUAAAGGGUGCGUAGGUGGUCUGACAAGUCAGGUGUGAAAGCCCCGGGCUUAACCUGGGAGGGGCACUUAAUACUGUCAAACUGGAGGGCGAGAGAGGAAAGCGGAAUUCCUAGUGUAGAGGUGAAAUUCGUAGAUAUUAGGAGGAACACCAGAGGCGAAGGCGGCUUUCUGGCUCGCAACUGACACUGAGGCACGAAAGCGUGAGGAGCAAAC